rnacentral:tRNA from 1 species
UAAAAUAUAAGCUAAUGAAGCUAUUGGGCCCAUACCCCACUGAUAGGAUUUACUCCUUAUUUUUU